rnacentral:lncRNA from 1 species
GAGAAAGACUCUGUGCGGAGGAAAUUAUCCACAUGUUAUCAGAAAAAAUGUAUCGAUGGUGCAGCUAAAUUCCAUUUUACCUGGCAGGGGAGAAAGCGAUUCCACUGACCGUGGGUCGUAUGAAUCACGAAUGGAUCCUAAUUUAAUUUUGAGCAGGAAAAGAUUUUUGCAUUUUUUAUCCUAUUUUAUCCUAAUUUAUCAUGCGCAUAUUUCGUGGUGCAUUGACGCAGUGAACAUAACAGAGUGGCAUGAUUUUGAUAACAAAAGCAGCAGUAUAAUGCUGGCGAAAUGGGAUACCGCUUCCCAAAGAGGACAGGUAGGCGAGCGGAGCCGGUGUUUUGAAACGCUGCAUUGAUAGAUCACGU